UUUGUCCAUUCUUUUCUCUCGACGUGAACCCAUUUCCCAUUCUCGUUCUCCUCUCAUUCAUUUUCCUCUUUUCCUCCCCUGAUCUAGGGAUUCAGCCACAGUUCGUUGCUAGAUCCAUCAAGUGAGAAGGACGUGGUGAGUAGGAUUUGCGGCAGAGUGUCGUGGUUCCAGUCUCUCGGCGGCGGCCGGUCUUCCAGCUUGACCACACGUGCCUGCUUCUCGCCGCCGCCGUCGACUGGAUGGCCGUGAAGUUUGCCCCCCUUGAACCUGAGCGGUGGCUCUCCUCCAGCUGGUGGAGAUUUUUUCUGGUGUAGAUAAGGAGAUGUUUAUGUUCUCCUCACCUUUCUCUACCUUUUUUAUCUUUGCAUGGUUUCUUCUUACUCAUAAUUUUCAUGCUCGCCAAAGGGAGAGGGUGUUCUAUGGUGAGGUACUAAUCAGAAGCCGGGAAGGACAAAUGCAGAGAGGUGACCAAUAUGCGCAUGGAGUUUUUUUAGGAUCAAGCGAGCGAAGACUGCCUCAAUUUAUGUAAAAGAGUUCUGAUGUGGUGGUAGUUCUGUCCAUGCAAACGGAAAGCAGAAAGUUCUUUGUGAGUUUUUAUUUCCUUGUCCACAACUCCUCCCAUCGAUGUGAAUGAAAACAACAAGUUGUAUGACCUUAUAAUUCUGCCCUUCAUUUCUUAAGAGGUUUCCGAGGUAUGGUGGAGGCUCUCUUAGUGGUGGCAGAUUGAUUUUUCCCUGUUUGCAACAUAUUCCAAAGAGGGUUUCGUAGUUCCUUUGUUGAAUUUAAUAUUUCUUCACACCAUAGCAAUGAUUUGCAAUAUUAGCAUUUGUAUGUUGGCCUUUCAAACUUCCAUGUCUUUCUAUUAGCACUUGUUGAGGUUGUGGUUCUAUUGUUGUCUCCAACAUUGAUUCUAAUGUUAAUUUUGUUGCUUUCUCUUCCUGUA